rnacentral:rRNA from 1 species
CACAGUGAGGAAUAUUGGACAAUGGGAGCAAUCUUGAUCCAGCCAUGCCGCGUGCAGGAAGACUGCCCUAUGGGUUGUAAACUGCUUUUAUACAGGAAGAAAAAGGUGUACGUGUACACUGUUGACGGUACUGUAAGAAUAAGGAUCGGCUAACUCCGUGCCAGCAGCCGCGGUAAUACGGAGGAUCCAAGCGUUAUCCGGAAUCAUUGGGUUUAAAGGGUCCGUAGGCGGGACGAUAAGUCAGUGGUGAAAGUCUGCGGCUCAACUGUAAAAUUGCCAUUGAUACUGUUGUUCUUGAGUGCUUGUGAAGUGGUUAGAAUGAGUAGUGUAGCGGUGAAAUGCAUAGAUAUUACUCAGAAUACCGAUUGCGAAGGCAGAUCACUAACAAUUCACUGACGCUGAUGGACGAAAGCGUAGGUAGCGAACAGGAUUAGAUACCCUGGUAGUCUACGCCGUAAACGAUGGUUACUAGCUGUUCGGACUAAUUGAGAUCUGAGUGGUAAGCGAAAGUGAUAAGUACCCCUGGCUCUGCUACGG